rnacentral:lncRNA from 1 species
AUGGAGGAUACAAGGGAUGGGAUGCUCUUCCCAGACCAGAGUUUUUCCCCAAAAGCAGAAAGGAAGCCCAUGAGUCUCACAGAAUACACAGGGCUGGAAAGGGAUCCUCGGCUCUGUCCAGCCUGGACCGUGGUGCUCAGGAUGUGUCCCGAGUGGUCUCUGGAAAAUGUCUUUUGUUUUCCAGGUGGCAGAAGUGGCACAUGUAAACUUAAGUGGACGUGUUGUGGAGAGAACUGUUAUUAUUUUUCAAAAGAAUCAAAGAACUUUGAAGACAGCAAGAAAUUUUGUGAGAGAAUGGACUCCAAACUUGUUAAGAUAGAAGAUCAACCAAGAACUGUGAUUGGAAAGAGUCAACGAGUGGAAACUGUGGAAGUCUAACAGCAUCACAGAUGACUGCUUCUGACUGUGCCAGACUCAUGCACUCUAUCUGUGAGAAGAAAACUACAUGUCGUUCAACUUAAUGCUGGGAACACCACCAACAAAAAAUAAUAAUUUUUUCUUAGGAAUAAUUCAAACCCUUGGGAGCUCUGGAGUCUUCUCUCACUUCAGAGCAUCUGCAUUUUUAAAGAGCUCUACCUAUAUUAAAGCCCGAUUAAAAUGAGGUCCAAGUAUUGGUCUACUAAAAUGAGAUGCCAGAGACUUUGGAAUUCUACCAUUUUCAAUUCAAGACUUCCUGAUCACAGCAUCUAUGAAAACAAGAUGGACCAGAACAGUUUCAGGGCUCUGAUGAGGGUCAGGAAACCGAGCUGGGAAUACUCUUCCUGCAACUCACACACUUUCGUAGAUAAUUCCAUAAAUUUCAGGCACUAUUGUGCAAUUCGACUAGAAGUAAAUGCAGUGUAGUAAUUAAGAGCAGUAUUUUGUAUGAAGCAUGUAUGCAUUUCUGUUUGAAUCUUUACCUUUUGGGAGAAAGACACUAUGGAAUCUGGAAGGGGAAGAGAAUAGUAUCCUGAAUCCAGUCUGAGAAUAGUAUCCUGAAUCCAGUCUGAGAAUAGUAUCCUGAAUCCAGUCUGAAUUUGAGGACUGCACCAUACCUAAUAAUUGUGUGUUCACUGGCAAGUGAAAACUUUUGAAUCUGAGUUUCCUGAUCAGUAGAAAACUUCCAAAGUGUUUUCUAGAGUGCCUGUCAUUUUACAUUCCAGCAUACAUGAAAGCUCCAUUUGUUUACAUCCUUCUGAUAUGUAAUAUUGUCAGUACCUUCGGUCAUUUUAAUAAGGGUGUUGUGAAAUUUUAUUUGUGAUUUUAAUUAUAUUUCCCUAAUGAAUAAAUUAUAUUGGGAAACCUUUUGUGUGUGUUUU